rnacentral:lncRNA from 1 species
UCAAAUAUAGAAAGGAUCUAGCCCGGAUGGGUAAUCCGUUGAUCUCAAAUAUAGAAAGGAUCUAGCCCGGACGGGUGUUCCUUAAGUGAUCAAGCCUCCCAAAGAAUAUGUGUGCAUUAAGGAUUUAGCCUGGACGGGUAAUCCGAUUGGGGUCUGAAUUUAGCCUGGACUGGUAAUUCAGAUCCGAGCUCAUUGAGAGUGCUUGUUG